rnacentral:lncRNA from 1 species
AUUUCCUCUCUAGAGAUGGUGCAAUGAGAUGUAAAAACACUGAGUAGGAGGUACAUAUUGCAGGCAGAAUUUAUGGUUAUUUUGGGUUUUGGCUAGUGCUUCCCUCAGAUUAAAAGGAAUUCAUAGCUCAGCUAUGUAACCGAUUUUUUUCUAAAAAAUAAAAAUGGGGGAAAAUAUUAAGCUGAAAAUAGCACUGAAAAAGUGCAACAGCAAGACCCUGGGCGUGGUAGUUUCUUCUCUCUGCUGCUUUACAACAAAUCCGUGUUCCAGCUGCUCCAGUGAAAAUGCAGGCAGCACAUUUCUCUGCCAUUAUAGACAGCAUAUUUUAUAAGCUGUUACUACGGUCAAAGUGAGUAUUCUGGAUCCAUUAACAGCUCUUUUUCCUCAAAGGAAAAAUAUUUUCUUGGAUGGGUAACUUUCAAAGAAAUAAAAAAGAUAUUUCUAACA